rnacentral:rRNA from 1 species
GAUGAACGCUGGCGGCGUGCAUAACACAUUCAAGUCGAACGGACACCUUCGGGUGUUAGUGGCGGACGGGUGAGUAACGCGUGAGUAACCUGCCGCGGAUUGGGGAAUAACGACCGGAAACAGUCGCUAAUACCGCAUAACGCACGAUGAUCGCAUGGUCGACGUGCCAAAGAUUUAUCGAUCCGCGAUGGACUCGCGUCCAAUUAGGCAGUUGGCGGGGCAACGGCCCACCAAACCGACGAUUGGUAGCCGAACUGAGAGGUUGAACGGCCACAUUGGAACUGAGAUACGGUCCAGACUCC